rnacentral:rRNA from 1 species
CACGUAGGGCGCAAGCGUUGUCCGGAAUUAUUGGGCGUAAAGAGCUCGUAGGCGGACUGUCACGUCUGCUGUGAAAAGCUGGGGCUUAACCCUGGCCUUGCAGUGGAUACGGGCAGACUAGAGGUAGGUAGGGGAGAAUGGAAUUCCGGGUGUAGCGGUGGAAUGCGUAGAGAUCCGGAAGAACACCAGUGGCGAAGGCGGUCUGCUGGGCAGUUGCUGACACUGAGGCGCGACAGCGUGGGGAGCAAACAGG